GACAUGGCGAUGCUUCUGGAUGGCCGUUGGCUGUGGGUAGCCGAAACUGUGGACAGCCAAACCAGAGAUAAGGGAAGCCUACUGUAGUUUUCCAGACAGCGUCAUAGAAACCGUAGAAGAGUGAACAGAGUUGACCUCGAGAGCACUCUGAACACAGUGUAAUUGCUUCAAGGGAUCAUCAGACAGAACUUGUGGAAAGCUUUUCAAUAGGGAGUGCUCAGGAGGAGAUGAAAAUUGCUGUGGCCUCGGAAUGAAAACAAGGAGGAGCAAAUGGAAACAAAAUUGAUCCAGCUCUGCUUCAGAUACCUACUCAGGUGUCCCCUGUUUGCACCAAGACCUCUGAGUGGCAUGGAGAAUUAGAAAGCAGAACACCAGGGAGUGAAUCCAGAGAAAGAACUACCACUGCUGUCUGGACAGGUGGUGCAAAGUGCUGGAAGUUCCCUGAAGGAGGGUCGAGUCUGAAAGGAUCUGAACCUCAGGCACUUGGGAACUGAGUGUACCCAGAGAAUGAACUGCAAGCUGUACUGAGAGAGAAAGAGAGAGAAGGAGAGGAGAGAAAGGAAGAGAGAGAAAGAGAGAGAGAGAGAGAGAGGACACCAUAGACAGCCAAGCAGCCCUGGCUUUGACAUUUUUGUUCAGUUGGAAUCAGCUUGGGACAAUCUGCUUGCCUGCUUCAGGAGGAUUCUCCACCGCUCCUCGACCUAUAUCCCUCUUGAUGGGGCUUGUAAGAGCUCCUGCUUGUGCACACUACUGACAGAGACACGAAGGAGCAUGUGAUCAUGGCUGCAAAGCUCUGCAAUUAUGCCUGGUUGGUCUUUUCAUCCCCUGUCCUAACCUCUGCUUUGUCAGCUCUGGUCCUUUCUGCCCUAAAUCUUCAGGCCACAGCGUCACCCUGCUCCCAUCCAGACGCAUUAUAGAUUCCACUGAACUUUUCUCUCUGGCUGCCCAUGGAGCUCUCCCUCCAAAUCUCCAGCUCUAACCGGGGAAAUUCUACAGCCACAUGAAAGGAGCUGGUGGACCUGACCCUAGACCAUGUGACUACUCACCUCUCUUGCAGCCAGCCUGCUAGAAAUCAGACUUGCCACAUUGCAUAUCUCAACAAACAACUGGUUUACCUCAAUUCAACUCAACAAGCAUUUAUGGAGAACUUACUACGUGCCUGCUGCUAUAAUAGGCAAUGGAGAUACAAUAAUUAAUAAAAAGGUUCAAAGAA